ensembl:snRNA U6 U6 spliceosomal RNA
GUGCUUGCUUCAGCAGUACAUAACUAAAACUGGAAUGAUACAGAGAAGAUUAGUAUGGCCGCUGAACAAGGAGAACACACAAAUUCAUGAAGUGUUCCAUAUUUUU